rnacentral:lncRNA from 1 species
CUUGGGGAUUAAUAAUCUGUUGAGAAGAAUUCUUCACACUAGACCUGUAGUAAUUUACAGUGAGGGGUAUUGUGUCCAUAAUUAGUCUUCCAAACAUCCCAUGAGAUCUUCAGUAUCGCCAGACUACUGCUCGUUCGCCCCUCCACCACCGCUGGUCGUAACCGAAGCAGAGCAUCAGGUAAACGGCACAAUCGUCAGUCUAUAUCCUCCUGCCAUCGAAAUCGUACACACUUUGAAGCGGUGGAGCUUGAAUACUGUUCCAUGCAGCUUGGUUGCAGAUGGUUCCGGGCCCCUAUCCGGAUGCAUUCCACGAUCUUGACCAGCAAGGAGGAAAAUAGCAGGGGUACUGGAGCUGUGCAUGCCAGGGGCGGCUAGUCAGCUCCACCGACCGGCGUGGCCAAAGAGGUUGAAGUUAAAAUAAAUC